rnacentral:lncRNA from 1 species
AUAAUGGGCUGAAGAUUACUGUGCUCUACUUUUGCUGGCUAUUUUCCUGAGAAAAGUAUUCUAUUUAUGGCACAUGUUGACACAGCUGAUUCCAAUUUUCCUUCCAGGAGUAGCCUGCCAUACUGCUGUAUGUAAAAGCAAUCAUGCCAGGGUUUUGUUUCAGAGACCCCCAGCCUAUGGGCCCUCUCUGUGGUCUGGGGAAGCAAUCCUUGUUUCAUUUGCCUGUUUGUCCUCAGCUUCCUCAGCAGAUGUCCCCAGAACCAUCACUGGGGUCAUGGCCAAGAAUAAUACUGAGAGGGAGACAAUGCUUGUCCAGCUUAAGAACUUGUUCUCCACCCACUAUUCUGGAAUAGGAGAGUCCACACAUGGAGUUAAUCAGGGGAAGUGGGAUAAAUCCUUUGCCUACAACUAA